CCGAAGGGCACUGGGGACACGGGGACGUCGUGGGGACACCGUGGGGACGCCGUGGGGACACCGUGGGGACACCCCGGGGGCACCGCCAGCACCUCGAACCCCCACACCCCCGAUCUCUGACCCCAAAGCCCCAAUUUCUGACCCCAAAUCCCCAAUUUCUGACCCCAAAUCCUGAAUUUCUGACCCCAAAUCCUGAAUUUCCAGUCCCAAAAUCCCCCCCAGAUUCCCCCAAAAUUCCCAAAUCUCCCCCAAAAUUCCCUCAAAUCUCCCCCAAAAUUCCCAAAUCUCCCCCAAAUUCCCUCAAAUCUCCCCCAAAAUUCCCAAAUUCCCCCCAAAUCUUCCCCAACAAAAUUCCCCAAAACUCCCCAAAAAUCCCCAAAAACUCCCCCCAAAUCUCCCCCAAAAUCCCCAAAUCUCCCUGUUUUGCCCCAAAUCCCCCGUUUUUCCCCAAAUCUCCCCAUUUUGCCCAAAAUCUCCCCGUUUUGCCCAAAAUCCCCCCGUUUUUCCCCAAAUCUCCCCGUUUUGCCCAAAAUCCCCCCAUUUUUCCCCAAAUCUCCCCGUUUUUCCCCAAAAUCUCCCCGUUUUCCCCAAAUCUCCCCGUUUUGCCCAAAAUCGCCCCGUUUUGCCCCAAAUCUCCCUGUUUUGCCCAAAAUCUCCCCGUUUUUCCCCAAAAUCUCCCCGUUUUGCCCAAAAUCCCCCCAUUUUUCCCCAAAAUCUCCCUGUUUUGCCCAAAAUCCCCCCGUUUUGCCCCAAAUCUCCCCAUUUUGCCCCAAAAUCUCCCCGUUUUGCCCCAAAUCUCCCCAUUUUUCCCCAAAAUCUCCCCGUUUUGCCCAAAAUCGCCCCGUUUUGCCCCGGUCCGGCACCGUCUCCCUCCAGGAACUUCUCCAUGAACUCCUGGAGGCUCCCGGGGUCUUUGUAGGGCCGGAACAUCCGCGAGAAGUGGAAGAGCGACACCAGCACGUCCUUGGGGUUCCGCACCGUGUAAAUCACCUGCGGCAUCCAAAAUUCCCCAAAAUUCACCAAAAUCCCCCGAAAUGCCCCGAAAUCACAAACCCCGCCGGGACCCGGGGGCGGCCAGCACGAAAAAUCCCGCAAAAAUCCAAAAUUUCUGACCCCAAAUGCAACAUUUCUGAUCCCAAAAUCCCACAAAAAUCCAAAAUUUCUGACCCAAAAGGUGACAUUUCUGACCCAAAUCCGACAUUUCUGACCCCAAAUCCCAUCAAAACUUCAACAUUUCCCUCCAAAAAUCCCCCAUUUUCCCCCUAAUAAACCCAUUUUUUCCCUGUAAAAAUGUCAUUUUUUCACCAA
rnacentral:lncRNA from 1 species